UAAAGCGUCCGCAGGGGGCGCAUCAAGUCUGCUGUUAAAGGCUGGAGCUUAACUCCGGUAGAGCAGUGGAAACUGGUGCGCUAGAGGGCGACAGGGGUAGAGGGAAUUCCCAGUGUAGCGGUGAAAUGCGUAGAGAUUGGGAAGAACACCGGUGGCGAAAGCGCUCUACUGGGUCGCACCUGACCCUCAGGGACGAAAGCUAAGGUAGCGAAAGGGAUUAGAUACCCCUGUAGUCUUAGCCGUAAACGAUGGAUACUAGGCGUGGCUUGUAUCGACCCAAGCCGUGCCGAAGCUAACGCGUUAAGUAUCCCGCCUGGGGAGUACGCACGCAAGUGUGAAACUCAAAGGAAUUGACGGGGGCCCGCACAAGCGGUGGAGGAUGUGGUUUAAUUCGAUGCAACGCGAAGAACCUUACCAGGGCUUGACAUCCCGCGAAUCUCGGUGAAAGCCGAGAGUGCCUUCGGGAGCGCGGAGACAGGUGGUGCAUGGCUGUCGUCAACUCGUGUCGUGAGAUGUUGGGUUAAGUCCCGCAACGAGCGCAACCCUCGUCCUUAGUUGCCAGCAUUGAGUUGGGCACUCUAGGGAGACUGCCGGUGACAAACCGGAGGAAGGUGAGGAUGACGUCAAGUCAGCAUGCCCCUUAUGCUCUGGGCAACACACGUCCUACAAUGGUCGGGACAAAGGGGAGCGAGCUCGCGAGAGUCAGCGAAUCCCAGCAAACUCGGCCUCAGUUCAGAUUGCAGGCUGCAACUCGCCUGCAUGAAG
rnacentral:rRNA from 1 species